CUCUAUGUAUCUUUGCCAAGCUACCAACUCUAUUUUGAAAAUGACUAGUUGCCUUCUCUAUGGUCUCUCUUUGCCUCCAUGUUGGACUGAAAUUCCAAGGUGUAGUGACACAGAGCAGACAAUAGAGGGACAUUAAUUUAGGAUGAGCCUCCAUUUAAAUAUAAACAUCCUAGACAAUAGGCAGGCUCCCACACAGAACAAUGGUUUGUCAGGGGAGAGGCUGCCUGGCAACGAGGUCACCUGCUAGGAGUCUGGGAUCACCUAAGGAAGAUGAUCCAGGAGUCACCUGAAAGAAGGAGUGGAAGGUUUUAAAGGGUUCACAGCGGGAAAAAACCCUCAGAGAGGCACUCGCAGGAAGUUUGGGCAGGAGAGGGGAAGUCAAUGGAUCAUCCAAGGUCUGAGGAGGCAAGCGUGGGAGAGAAGGCUCCAUGUUUCAUAAUCCAAGCCAGGCACUGUGAUUAUGAAAGAUCCUGGAUGGUCCCAGACAGCCCUGACCUCAGGUGAAAGAAUGCUCUGAAGCGAUGAGAAAACUGAGGAGGGAAAUGCAGAAUGGAGGAGGAUCAGCUGCCUAUGCUGUACCAUUUCCCUUUUCUCUGGACACUAGGGAAGGAAUUCCAUGAGGUCAUGUUAUGUGCAGAGAGGAUACUGGAUAGACCAAGGGUGCUAAGAGAGACACAUCAUUCCUCAUCCUGACACUAACAGUGCUGAAGCAGAAAAGUGAAUCCAGCUCUGCCUGUAUUAUCUCUUCUGUGGAGUACACCCUCCAGUGGCAGCCACACCCAGCCUACCACAGAACUACAGAAAGCAAAUAGCUUUGAUUUCUGUCCUACAAGAAUGAAGAGAGAACAAUUGAACAUCCCUAAAAACAGGAAACAUACAUUCUAAAGCAUUUACUUAUAGAGCUAAACAC